rnacentral:lncRNA from 1 species
GGGUUUUGACUCAGUGAUGAGGCUGAGGCAAUGGGAACGGAGUGAACGAAGUCAUGAGAAACAACAGAAGAGAUGUUGAGGAGUCCAGUUUGGUUCUUGGAAGAAAGGAUGGGUGGCAGAUAAGGCUGAGAAAGUGGGCUGGCGUAGAGAGAGUCAGAACAGGAGUCUGGGUGGUAAAAAGAAAUCUACAAUCCUCCAUCCAAUCUCCCAUAAAGGCCCCUUUCCAAGCUACAGCGCUGACCAUUCCUUCCUCUUUAUCACACCGUCCAAGACACAUUUGUUCAGUUGAUGCUUAUAAAUACUAAAGCUGGCCCUGGGCUUCGAAAGCCUUGGGAAUUUGGAAUGCGUGGAGGGACCUUGUGGCAAGCGUAGUGGGGCAGGUACAGUAGGUGGCGCUCUCCAACCAAGGCAGGAAGACCCCACACUCAGAUGGAGGCACUGCCCUUCCUUCACCUUGAGGUGAGUCGCCUCCCCACUCAGAAAAGGCAUGGCCUGCUUCGUUUAGUGUAUCCCUCACCACUUUAAUUUUACCUCUUUAGAUCUUUCAUGAUAUUUUGAGGCAUGGGGGCUGGGAAAUCUAUUUCCUAAAAGACAUUAUUAAAGCUCAUUUUGGCAGCUGGAAUUGAGAGCUGCAUUAGGAGCUGUUGGUAUUCUGCCCAGAUGUCAGGCACAUGAUGGUCUUUUAAACUAAAACCACUUGCAUGCCCACUGAGGGUCUAUUUUGUUUCUUUCAUAGUGCUUAAUUUUUGCAUAUUGUUUCUAAGCUCUAUGGCAAUACAUAAAUAAAUAAUCAAUAAUUACAAACCUUUCUCAGAAGUGUGAAGUCUAUUUCUGUUUUGAGACAAACCUUGGGAAUAUUUAGAUAAGAAGCCUCAGUCUAAGUGGAUCAUGAGGUGUUUUCAGUGGCAGGUCGCUAUGUGUGUGUACUCUACAGCCUGGUCUUAGCCUAGGGUUUGGAGAGUGCUGGGAUCAGGGCUUGGCAUACAGAGUAAGGACGCAGGAAACAGUGAAUUGAGGGCCCACUCUAUUCAUAUUUUAUGUUCAAGAAAGGAGGACAUUUUCUUUGUCCACUUUUCCUCUACUUUUUCUUUCGCUGCAAAUGACAGCAAAAAUUUGAAGGGCUAAGUGGAAACACGAGGGCCACCCAAGGCAACAUUGUGACAUUUUGCUUUUCAGAACCAGCUGAUUCCCACUCCUUUCCUUUCCUCCCCUUCCCCGUACAAAUGCUGCGAUGCUCUCUGGCACUGAUGGCCCCCCACACUUCCCUUCCACCCAAAUCUAUUGCCCUAUCCUUCUCUUCCUCCAUUAAAAUGACCCUGUUUCAUGCCUGUGAUAAUAUCUUGGUCCUUCUAGUACUCCUGGGAUUUCAAAAAAAUUUUAAAUUCAUAAUUACAUUUUUACCUUUGCAACCACUGGACCCAGCUUUAGAUUUGUCUGUUCACCAUAUCCAAGACCCCUUGCUAGUCAAUCUGAAGACAUGGACUUAACAGUGCCUGAGUAGAAGCUAAGUGUGUCAAACACCACUUUCCCUCAAUUACAUAUUAACAUCAUGCUUGUUUUUACAAAGAGAGAGAAGAAUUUCAGGCAUGUCCGGCUGAUGAAGAUGAUUUGGGGAUAAGCAGGUCAUUAAGUUCUGUCAAACGAGGUCCUCUAUGAGGAGAGUUAGAUAUCACAGAGAAACCUCUUGGGCCCCUUCUUCUGCAGCCCUGUAUCCUGCCAGUGUGUGACAUAUCCACAUAGGAAUAAUCCUGCUGGAACAACAUUCUGGAAGGGUUGCGGCUAAUGUUUGCUUACUCUAAUCACCCGAAUCUGGUUAUGAUUGUCCAUUGGGUACAUCCAGUCCAGGUAAUUAUUCAUCAUGACAUUUGCUGGGGAAUUCCACCUUGGGCCUUAUUGUGAACACAAAAAGGAUGGAAUGAGGAUAAUUAAACCCAUACCAAAGAAUGUACUAGGUCUACCUUACUAAGUGGCUUUAACAAGCAAAUAUAUAUAAACUCACAUACACAUGAGACUACCAAUCAUAUACAUUUGAGCAAUCGCACAAUUUCCUAUCUCAACUCAUUAGAGAACUGGUAAAAGAUUUGGUCAGGAAUGCUUAAGGAAAAUGUCUCUGCCAGGUCCAUGUAUAGGUCUUCACCUCCCCUCCCCCUUUGCAUCUAAUUCCAGAAUACGAUUUUGUUAUCUUCUACGUGCCAUGCUAUUCCUCAUCCCAUAUAGGUCUGUGUUGGAAUAGUUCUUUUUAAAAAUUUAUUUUUUGUUUUAUAUUGAAGUCUAGCUGACUUACAGUAUUGUGUUAGUUUCAGAUGUGCAACAAAGGGAUUCAGUUAUACAUAUACCUACAUCCAUCCUUUUUCAGAUUCUUUCUCCCAUAUAGGUUAUUGCAGAAUAUUGAGGAGAAUUCCUUGUACUAUAGAGUAGGUCCUUGUUACUUAUCUAUUUUAUGUGUAGUAGUGUGUAUAUGUUAAUCCCAACCUCCCAGUGUAUCCCUUCCCCACCCCAUGUUUCCCCUUUGGUAAGGGUUGGGUACGUCUUGAAUCCGAGCUCCUAUAGUACUUUAGAGCUACCAGGUUCUCCGUCUGCAACUGCUCGGAAUCCACACUUUAAGAUGAAUUUCUAUCAGCUCUGUUUCUUUGGCUUGAAUGACUCCUUCCAAAGUCCCCCUGCAUGGGUCAUGGAAUUGGAACUUCUGGAGAUUUCCCUUUUUUUUUUUUUUCAGUUAGCCUACAGUGCUAGUCACCUGGAAAUGACUUAACUUCAUUUUUUUUUUCUCCAAACCCCCAUUCAGUGGAGGCAGUGCAAAUAGUUGUAGACGUAACCAUUAAUUCACAAGAGAACCGCUUUCGACUACCUGAAAGUCUUGACCAUUAUAAAAAUGUCAUUAACAUUGGGCUUCUCCCUCCAUUGAUUUGGUAUAUAUGGAGGCUUUUAGCCAUUUUUGUCCAUUGAGUUAUGAAAACCUAGGAAGGGUCUUUACUGAACUUGGGUUCUCCUCCUCAUCCUUGUAUUAGGGCAUGGCAGCAAGCAGUACAGCCUGUGGCACACUCUGCUCAGGUCUGCAGCCUUCUUCUAAAGGGAAACCAACACAGAGCAAACAGGCAGCAUUAUAAUAGCAGCAAGCCGUGAAUGGUGGGGAAGAUCCUAGGAAGGAAGACAGCUUUGGGCUCCUCCACUCCCACAGAAAGAAUGCCAGUCCUGUGACUCUCCUGUCCUUUAUAAAUCCUUUACUGCCUUAAUGGCUGAAGGCUGGGUGCCCUGGUAGUAGAGCCCAGAGUGCUUUCAGUAACCAAGCUGCACCCUCUUGUCCUAUGUGCUCCCUCUCUCAAGGCAGUGGCAGAAUCCUAAGCGGUCAGUACUGUGUUGGUUUGAAGGUUAAAUUCUGGACUGAACUGGGGAUCACAGAGACUGAGAAGGAUUGAGGACAGAUAAUAGAGUUUAAGUUUUUAAAAAUUUUGUUUUAUUUAUGUAUAGCUGAUUGACAAUAUUUCUACUGAACCGCAAAGUGAUCCAGUUAUAUAUUUAUAUACAUAUAAAUAUUCCUUUUCUUGUUAUUUUCCAUUAUGGUUUAUCACAGGAUAUAGAAUAUAGUUCCCUGUGCUAUGCACUAGGAUCUUGUUUAUCUGUUCUCUGUACAAUAGUUUGCAUCUACUAAUUCCAAACUCGCAAUCCAUCCCUCCUCCACCCCGCCUCUACCUUGGCAACCACAGUCUGUUCUCUAUGGAUAGACUCUAAGUUUUUGGUAAACUGUAAAAUACAUUUAUCAUUUGAGCACCAUUGUUUAGAAAAUGCUAUGAUUCAAGCUGAUGUGAAAAUUGUCUGUGUGUGUGUAUUUGCGUGUGUGUGUUUGUGUGUGUUUGCAUGGCUCCUUUCCCAGCCCUUAAAGCCUUACCGUGACUCACUGCUUUCUUUCCCACAGCAAAUAAUCAUCAUUAAGGAUUGAAUUAACUGGAAAUGACAGAUAGCAAUGUUUGAUUUUAUGAUUACUAUAAAUCAGUAGUACCAGAAAAAUGUUGGCUCGAUACACAUGGACGCUUUAGUCUGUGUUCCCUGAAGGUCAGAUUUUCUUCCACAUCAGAAGAGUACAGAGCCUGAAUCCAACAAUUGCUUUUCUGUUUGGGAAGAGAUAGACCAGAGAGAAUCCUUUUAAAAGCCUUCUUAUAAAAAUGCUUCUCCUGGUUCCUGCCUGAAUGAGUGGCUUAACAUUUGGCUUCUUUUUACAGGGAAGUUUCUAUUAGAGUGAAGGAAGUUUAACAUGCUCUGAAAACCAAGGCUGCUUUAUGCAGCUCUUAACACAGUAGUAAGAAGGUACUCAGGAUGCAUUUGUUGAUUAAGUGAUUGCAAAGUCAACUCUAAUCUGCUGCUCGACUCUUCUCUCUAUUAAUGAAAACAAAUGUAAUCCUGGCACAUGAACUGUAAUCUGGAAAUGGCUUUUAGAAAUCCACUCCACUGAAUAAAUGGUCCAUUAGAGCCCAUCAUUAUCAAGGUUAAGAAGGUACAUUAGACUAGAUGGAGGUGGGAGUCGAAGAGGAGGGGGAGGUAUAUUUAACUAUUUCAGGAUGUUGACAGAGAAAAAAAUUAACAUUUUAAUUUUACCUGCUUUAAUUCUUACUGACAGGCUAAAAUAAUGUUUAGAAAUUAUUAAGAACUGUAAAGGGUUAAGAUUUUACCCUACUUGUCAUGUAGUACAUUAGCUUGCUGCAGUUUUAUAGAUACUGCCAGAAGACACAAGACUCCUGGGUCAAAGACAAAGAUUUUAUUACUCAUAGAAAUAGCAGUAGACAGAGUAUCUGAAUUUUCUUGUGGAAGCUUCUUGAGCCCCACUUCCCACAGUGGGAUGCAAAGAGGGCUGGGUGACACUUGCUCAUUCAGUGGUUGCAUGGCAAGAGAGGAACCCUAGGCUUGGGGAACCCGAAUCUAUUACAGUGAUCAAUGAGAAUGCCUGCCGUUUGUUCCAGAGGGAACUGCUUUUUCUUCCAAGGCUGCUUCCUAUUCAAACAUCUUGAAAAGCUAGUCCAAAACAAAGGAAGUCAGUGCCACUUCUCAUGAGAUGUGCAGAGAUAUAUCUUGAAAGAAUGUGGUGUCUGUGCCAGUGUGAGCUCUCUAUCCCGUUCCCACUGCUGUCUUUACGCUGCUAUCUUACUUGGAAUGUAGUGGUUCUCACUGCCUCUGGUUUCUGUUCUCAAACUGGUCUUGGAAUUAUGCUGGGUAUUUUUAUCCUCCCUGACUCUGAACCCUGGAGGACUCCCAGGGAUCUUUGCAAUCAAGAUUCCUCCUGCCAGAGACCUAGUAGAUUUGUCACUCUACUAGGUCUCUGGCAGGAGGAAGUAACUUUUUCUGGGGCCAGUGCUGACACCUGCUUGACCUAGACACAGAGAGGGAGGCGAGAAUGAAGAGGAGAGGAGAAAAUACUGUGCGGGGGAGAAUGGACAAAUGAAUGCCAGGAGAGAAAGAAAGAGGAAGACUAUAGGCUCUUCCGCUUUGUCCCAAUAAAAGGGCUAUGAAUUUUGGGGGAACGAGAAAUACAGAGAAUAGAGCUUUGUGAGAGAGACGGACAACCACUGUUUAUGACAAGCAGGCUGGUGAGUAGAAAAAACACAAGAUUUCCCAUGUGGUGCAGUGGGUUAAGGAUCCAGCAUUAUCACUGCUGUGGUUCAGCUUGCUGCUGUGGCAUGGGUUCGAUCCCUGGCUUGGGAACUUCCACAU